UCACUUGACGUCACCUAAGAUGUGUCUGCUUCCCCUUCUGCCGUGAUUGUACAUUUCCUGAGGCCUUCCCAGCCAUGUGGAAUGUCCUGUGUUGAAUAGAAGUGGUGAAAGCAGGCACCCUUGCCUUGUUCCUGAUUUUGGAAGAAAAGUUUUAAGUCUUUCACCAUGGAGUAUGCUGUUUACUGCACCCCUGCUAGAAUCUAGGAAUUCAGAAAGAAAAGGACUGUCCUCUGUGCUUCAGGAAUAUUCACACAAACUGGCCAACACUUACGGAAAAUAGAACCUACGUUGAAAUAUUGGGGGCUGGUUUCCUCUAUACAAGAGGAGUCAUGAAUGUUUAUGAAAGGAAAAAUCGCACAUGCGCAGGU